rnacentral:tRNA from 1 species
CAGAAAAUAGUUUAAUAAAAAUAUGAACUUUGGAAGUUUAAGUUGGUUAUGCCCUUUUCUGA